ensembl:snRNA U6 U6 spliceosomal RNA
GUGUUCACUUCAGUAGUACCUAUACUAAAAUUGGAAUGAUACAGAGAUUAGCAUAACCCCGGUGCAAGGAUGACAAGCAAAUUUGUGAAGCAUUCCAUAUUUUU